rnacentral:rRNA from 1 species
UACGGGGGGGGGCAAGCGUUGUUCGGAAUUACUGGGCGUAAAGGGCGUGUAGGCGGCCAACUAAGUCCGACGUGAAAUCCCCAGGCUUAACCUGGGAACUGCGUCGGAUACUGGAUGGCUUGAAUCCGGGAGAGGGAUGCGGAAUUCCAGGUGUAGCGGUGAAAUGCGUAGAUAUCUGGAGGAACACCGGUGGCGAAGGCGGCAUCCUGGACCGGUAUUGACGCUGAGGAGCGAAAGCGUGGGGAGCGAACAGG